rnacentral:misc_RNA from 1 species
AGGUUCUAAAUGCCGGUGUACUCGGUUAUCGUCCACCUGAAUUCGCGAGUACAAGUAAACCUUGUCCGUCUUUGAAAAGUGACGUCUACGCUUUUGGUGUUAUCUUGUUGGAACUUUUGACAGGAAGAAGUUCUGCAGAAAUUGUUCCUGGGAACUCAGAGGUGCUGGAUUUAACCGAAUGGGCGAGAUUGUUGGCCUUUCAAGACCGUUCAAUCGAGUGCUUCGAUCCAUUCUUACUGGGAAAGCAAAG